UACAGAGGUCUCAAGCGUUGUUCGGAUUCAUUGGGCGAAAGGGCGCGUAGGCGGUGGGGUAAGUCUGGUGUGAAAUCUUCGGAGCUCAACUUCGAAAUUGCACUGGAUACUGCUCUGCUAGAGGGCUGGAGAGGAGAUCGGAAUUCACGGUGUAGCAGUGAAAUGCGUAGAUAUCGUGAGGAAGACCAGUGGCGAAGGCGGAUCUCUGGACAGCUCCUGACGCUGAGGCGCGAAGGCUAGGGGAGCAAACGGG
rnacentral:rRNA from 1 species